GGUUAAGCGACUAAGCGUACACGGUGGAUGCCCUGGCAGUCAGAGGCGAUGAAGGACGUGCUAAUCUGCGAUAAGCGUCGGUAAGGUGAUAUGAACCGUUAUAACCGGCGAUUUCCGAAUGGGGAAACCCAGUGUGUUUCGACACACUAUCAUUAACUGAAUCCAUAGGUUAAUGAGGCGAACCGGGGGAACUGAAACAUCUAAGUACCCCGAGGAAAAGAAAUCAACCGAGAUUCCCCCAGUAGCGGCGAGCGAACGGGGAGCAGCCCAGAGCCUGAAUCAGUGUGUGUGUUAGUGGAAGCGUCUGGAAAGGCGCGCGAUACAGGGUGACAGCCCCGUACACAAAAAUGCACAUGCUGUGAGCUCGAUGAGUAGGGCGGGACACGUGGUAUCCUGUCUGAAUAUGGGGGGACCAUCCUCCAAGGCUAAAUACUCCUGACUGACCGAUAGUGAACCAGUACCGUGAGGGAAAGGCGAAAAGAACCCCGGCGAGGGGAGUGAAAAAGAACCUGAAACCGUGUACGUACAAGCAGUGGGAGCACGCUUAGGCGUGUGACUGCGUACCUUUUGUAUAAUGGGUCAGCGACUUAUAUUCUGUAGCAAGGUUAACCGAAUAGGGGAGCCGAAGGGAAACCGAGUCUUAACUGGGCGUUAAGUUGCAGGGUAUAGACCCGAAACCCGGUGAUCUAGCCAUGGGCAGGUUGAAGGUUGGGUAACACUAACUGGAGGACCGAACCGACUAAUGUUGAAAAAUUAGCGGAUGACUUGUGGCUGGGGGUGAAAGGCCAAUCAAACCGGGAGAUAGCUGGUUCUCCCCGAAAGCUAUUUAGGUAGCGCCUCGUGAAUUCAUCUCCGGGGGUAGAGCACUGUUUCGGCAAGGGGGUCAUCCCGACUUACCAACCCGAUGCAAACUGCGAAUACCGGAGAAUGUUAUCACGGGAGACACACGGCGGGUGCUAACGUCCGUCGUGAAGAGGGAAACAACCCAGACCGCCAGCUAAGGUCCCAAAGUCAUGGUUAAGUGGGAAACGAUGUGGGAAGGCCCAGACAGCCAGGAUGUUGGCUUAGAAGCAGCCAUCAUUUAAAGAAAGCGUAAUAGCUCACUGGUCGAGUCGGCCUGCGCGGAAGAUGUAACGGGGCUAAACCAUGCACCGAAGCUGCGGCAGCGACACUAUGUGUUGUUGGGUAGGGGAGCGUUCUGUAAGCCUGUGAAGGUGUGCUGUGAGGCAUGCUGGAGGUAUCAGAAGUGCGAAUGCUGACAUAAGUAACGAUAAAGCGGGUGAAAAGCCCGCUCGCCGGAAGACCAAGGGUUCCUGUCCAACGUUAAUCGGGGCAGGGUGAGUCGACCCCUAAGGCGAGGCCGAAAGGCGUAGUCGAUGGGAAACAGGUUAAUAUUCCUGUACUUGGUGUUACUGCGAAGGGGGGACGGAGAAGGCUAUGUUGGCCGGGCGACGGUUGUCCCGGUUUAAGCGUGUAGGCUGGUUUUCCAGGCAAAUCCGGAAAAUCAAGGCUGAGGCGUGAUGACGAGGCACUACGGUGCUGAAGCAACAAAUGCCCUGCUUCCAGGAAAAGCCUCUAAGCAUCAGGUAACAUCAAAUCGUACCCCAAACCGACACAGGUGGUCAGGUAGAGAAUACCAAGGCGCUUGAGAGAACUCGGGUGAAGGAACUAGGCAAAAUGGUGCCGUAACUUCGGGAGAAGGCACGCUGAUAUGUAGGUGAAGUCCCUCGCGGAUGGAGCUGAAAUCAGUCGAAGAUACCAGCUGGCUGCAACUGUUUAUUAAAAACACAGCACUGUGCAAACACGAAAGUGGACGUAUACGGUGUGACGCCUGCCCGGUACCGGAAGGUUAAUUGAUGGGGUUAGCCGCAAGGCGAAGCUCUUGAUCGAAGCCCCGGUAAACGGCGGCCGUAACUAUAACGGUCCUAAGGUAGCGAAAUUCCUUGUCGGGUAAGUUCCGACCUGCACGAAUGGCGUAAUGAUGGCCAGGCUGUCUCCACCCGAGACUCAGUGAAAUUGAACUCGCUGUGAAGAUGCAGUGUACCCGCGGCAAGACGGAAAGACCCCGUGAACCUUUACUAUAGCUUGACACUGAACAUUGAGCCUUGAUGUGUAGGAUAGGUGGGAGGCUUAGAAGUGUGGACGCCAGUCUGCAUGGAGCCGACCUUGAAAUACCACCCUUUAAUGUUUGAUGUUCUAACGUUGACCCGUAAUCCGGGUUGCGGACAGUGUCUGGUGGGUAGUUUGACUGGGGCGGUCUCCUCCUAAAGAGUAACGGAGGAGCACGAAGGUUGGCUAAUCCUGGUCGGACAUCAGGAGGUUAGUGCAAUGGCAUAAGCCAGCUUGACUGCGAGCGUGACGGCGCGAGCAGGUGCGAAAGCAGGUCAUAGUGAUCCGGUGGUUCUGAAUGGAAGGGCCAUCGCUCAACGGAUAAAAGGUACUCCGGGGAUAACAGGCUGAUACCGCCCAAGAGUUCAUAUCGACGGCGGUGUUUGGCACCUCGAUGUCGGCUCAUCACAUCCUGGGGCUGAAGUAGGUCCCAAGGGUAUGGCUGUUCGCCAUUUAAAGUGGUACGCGAGCUGGGUUUAGAACGUCGUGAGACAGUUCGGUCCCUAUCUGCCGUGGGCGCUGGAGAACUGAGGGGGGCUGCUCCUAGUACGAGAGGACCGGAGUGGACGCAUCACUGGUGUUCGGGUUGUCAUGCCAAUGGCACUGCCCGGUAGCUAAAUGCGGAAGAGAUAAGUGCUGAAAGCAUCUAAGCACGAAACUUGCCCCGAGAUGAGUUCUCCCUGACUCCUUGAGAGUCCUGAAGGAACGUUGAAGACGACGACGUUGAUAGGCCGGGUGUGUAAGCGCAGCGAUGCGUUGAGCUAACCGGUACUAAUGAACCGUGAGGCUUAACCUU
rnacentral:rRNA from 1 species